rnacentral:antisense_RNA from 1 species
GGGGUCUGGAGAAGAAGCUUGGCGCGAUCUUUGAUGUCUCCACCGAUAUGAUACGGCAGCCCGCAGUUGGCGAAAGACACAAAUUCGCCGCGUUCAAACAUGAUGAUCUCAGCAUCUUCACUCAGACGUCUUGCUCUUGCUGCCGCUGAUGCACCGCCAGCCACACCAC